GACGAACGCUGGCUGCGUGCUUAACACAUGCAAGUCGAACGCUGAAGCUCGCAGCUUGCUGUGGGUGGAUGAGUGGCGAACGGGUGAGUAACACGUGAGUAACCUGCCCCUGACUGCGGGAUAAGCCCGGGAAACUGGGUCUAAUACCGCAUAUGACACUUGGCCGCAUGGUCAGAGUGUGGAAAGUUUUUCGGUUGGGGAUGGGCUCGCGGCCUAUCAGCUUGUUGGUGGGGUAAAGGCCUACCAAGGCGACGACGGGUAGCCGGCCUGAGAGGGCGACCGGCCACACUGGGACUGAGACACGGCCCAGACUCCUACGGGAGGCAGCAGUGGGGAAUAUUGCACAAUGGGGGAAACCCUGAUGCAGCGACGCCGCGUGAGGGAUAACGGCCUUCGGGUU
rnacentral:rRNA from 1 species